UACGGAGGGAGCUAGCGUUGUUCGGAAUUACUGGGCGUAAAGCGCGCGUAGGCGGCUUUGUAAGUUAGAGGUGAAAGCCCGGAGCUCAACUCCGGAACUGCCUUUAAAACUGCAUCGCUUGAAUCCAGGAGAGGUGAGUGGAAUUCCGAGUGUAGAGGUGAAACUCGUAGAUAUUCGGAAGAACACCAGUGGCGAAGGCGGCUCACUGGACUGGUAUUGACGCUGAGGUGCGAAAGCGUGGGGAGCAAACAGG
rnacentral:rRNA from 1 species